UUAAGUUGUAUGUAUGAAUGGAUAUAUGUGCAUUUGUAUAUAUAAUAUUUUAACUGAGGGAGAAACACAGUGCAACAAAAAAAAUAAUUUGAAGAAGUUAUGGGCCAACUUUGGCGGAACACUUGAAAAUAAUAUCGGGAUUAAUUUUCACUAUAUUUUGGAACAUAUUUUGCACAUAUUAAACUUUUCGAUGAAUUCCUCUCACUGCGUAGAACUUAUUUUGCGAUGUAUUGAAUGCAACUUUGACGUACGGCCAAAUGUACUUAUGUAUUUCUUGUAACUUGAUAUGCACAAAGGGAAAUUGGACUUAGAUGGCCGCACGAUCAAAGAGAAAUGGAAAAGACGAUGAUUUUUUUUUAAUUGCCUUUGUCGGAUUAAGUCGAAUUUGAAUUUGAAAUGACCAGUCUAUAUGUUGUAUGGUUAGUGCUGAAACCCAAUAAGAAUAAAUAUAGCUGUACGUUCGCGUUAAUAUCAUCUGAAAACACUAGGAAAAAAAAAGAAAAGUCAAACAACAACCACAUUCACCAAUUAAUCUAACAUAAUUCUUUUUGAUCAGCUGUCGCCGUCGGAGAAAGAUCUUUCGCCGUUGGAUUGACGACCAUGUAAAUGAAAUAUAAUAAUAAAUUUAAAUUAAAUGGAGAUGCUCCCAUGACUAUUUGGUUAAAAGUGUUUAGUGAAUUCGACUAUGCCCUUUAGGCAUAUCGGCAAAGAGUGAACGGAUACAGAACAACGCUAAAGCCUCUCUCUCGCUCUCGCUUCCAUUUCUUCUGAUGAGCAGUUUUGUUUUUUUUUUUAUUUUGGCCUACGCAUUAUUCUACUAGUGUUACUCUCUCUUUCUAACGCAUGCAGUCACGCAUCGAGAGGCGAUAAGAGCUUUGCGAUCUUUGUGUUUACCUUUUUGUAUUCUUUGCCCUACUUAUUACGCUGCCUGCUGAGCUUUGACCUAGUUAAAUUUUUGUAAUGUGCUGGUGUCUCAUUAUAAAAAGUAUGGCUAAACUUUAUUUAGUUCUAUCACUAUGAAAGCGAUUUAAACUUAAUGGUAUUUCAAACUAUUGAAACAUAUUACAUUUAUGCCAACUUAUCUCACUGGAAGGGUGGGGAUACUGCCGCUUACAGACAUCUGAGCUGGACCAACAGGUUGUGUGGAAGGACAUCCAUAAUGCGACCAGGGCAUUUGCCCACUUGGACGUCAAGGAAAGGGAGCUGAAGGUGUUGUUUGACGGAUUUGCAAAGAUGAACACUACGAUUCAAAAAUAGAAGCAAGAAUCUUCGUAUAUGUGGUAGUUAUUUCCUGCCAGAGAUCCAGCAGUAAUGUAUUGUGGUGCUGCUUUUAGUCGGUUUUAUGCAAAGAAGAUUUUACAUUCGAAAGAAAUCAAAAAUUGCGCCAUUCUUGCAUAUAGAAACCAGCUGUUGAAGGGGUGGCACUUAUAGCCUGAUUCCAUUGCCGCAUUAAAACGCAUUUAGCCAAAUGCGCAUUUAUUUACACAGGGAAUCCCAUAAGGCUAAAUGCCUCAUUUAAAAUAAAUGCGAUUUUUAAAUGCGAUUAAAAUCCAUUUGCCACGAACGUUUUUAGAAAAAAUACUUAAAAAUACCGAUAUUACUGCCACCACUAAAACAGCUGAUUUUAAAUUUGUUGGGCGAGAUGAGUCAAAACAAAAGGAAAAGGAACCCUUGCUGGUCUCAGCACCACAAUGCGAUUCUUUUAGACCUGUGGCAGGAAAACAUACCUGGCUUGCGCUCAGCUCAUAAGAAUACGCAUAUUUUCAGCCGGAUUGCUAGAAAGUUAAAUGAGGCCGGCCUUUUGGAAGUUGGAUGGAAAGAAGUUAAGGCUAAAAUUGAUAGCUUCACCAUGAA